rnacentral:rRNA from 1 species
UACAGAGGUGGCAAGCGUUGUUCGGAAUUACUGGGCGUAAAGAGCGCGCAGGCGGUCGUUCAAGUCGCGUGUGAAAGCCCCCGGCUCAACUGGGGAGGGUCACGCGAUACUGAUCGACUGGAAGGCAGGAGAGGGUAGUGGAAUUCCCGGUGUAGUGGUGAAAUGCGUAGAUAUCGGGAGGAACACCAGUGGCGAAGGCGACUACCUGGCCUGUUCUUGACGCUGAGGCGCGAAAGCUAGGGGAGCAAACGGG